UGGGGAAUUUUGGACAAUGGGGGCAACCCUGAUCCAGCAAUGCCGCGUGUGUGAAGAAGGCCUUCGGGUUGUAAAGCACUUUUGUCCGGAAAGAAAACUUCGUCGUUAAUACCGGUGGAGGAUGACGGUACCGGAAGAAUAAGCACCGGCUAACUACGUGCCAGCAGCCGCGGUAAUACGUAGGGUGCGAGCGUUAAUCGGAAUUACUGGGCGUAAAGCGUGCGCAGGCGGUCUGUUAAGACCGAUGUGAAAUCCCCGGGCUUAACCUGGGAACUGCAUUGGUGACUGGCAGGCUUUGAGUGUGGCAGAGGGAGGUAGAAUUCCACGUGUAGCAGUGAAAUGCGUAGAGAUGUGGAGGAAUACCGAUGGCGAAGGCAGCCUCCUGGGCCAACACUGACGCUCAUGCACGAAAGCGUGGGGAGCAAACAGGAUUAGAUACCCCCGUAGUCC
rnacentral:rRNA from 1 species